UCACACUGAUUCGACCCUUCUCCGGUACUCGUCAGGACAAUUUUUCAAUACUCGCAUGGAUUCUACCUUUUCCCGGUACUCGCCCGGAUUCUAUCAUAUUUCGGUACUCACAUUGAUUCGACCAUUUUUUUGUAAUAGCCGGGACUGGUUUUCGAUACUUGCACGGAUUAUAUCUUUUCCCGGUAGUCUCCCAGAUUCUACUAUUUUUCGGUACUCACACUGAUUCGAGCCUUUUCCGGUACUCGACAGGACAAUUUUUCGAUACUCGCAUGGAUACUUCCUUUUCCUGGUACUCGCCCGGAUUCUAUUAUUUUUCGGUACUCACAUUGAUUCGACCAUUUUUUUGUAAUCGCCUGGACAGUUUUUCAAUACUCGCACGGAUUCUUCCUUUUCCCGGUACUCUUCCGGAUUCUACUAUUUUUUGGUACUCACACUGAUUCGACCCUUCUCCGG
rnacentral:lncRNA from 1 species